CGUUCAUGCAUACAUGGUGUACUAAUUUCUCGAUUUUUCCGAGAUUUUGUAGACGAACGAGCAGCACUGUUUAUGAGCUUGCAUAGGAAACAUGCUCCUCAUUUUUUCUUCUGCUCAUUCACUGCACACAAGAGCUGUCAUGGCCAUCAAAAUUCAGUGCACAUCUUGAGCUGCUUCUGCUUAUCAAGAGGGAUCUUCACUUUUUCUUUAUUUGGGAGAAGAAUUGCUACUCCUGUCGCUCAGUAUGGUAGCCUAGAUGUAUGCUCAAGUUUCACAAGUUUUGAUGCAUGGUAGAAUAUGUGGUGCACUUCUUUAUACUGCAGCAAGCAAUAGAAAAGAAUCUUCAGAUUCUAAUGAUGUGUCUUGUUCACUUCUUGCAGGCGGUUGAGCUGCUCGGCCCCAAGCUACCUCCACUAGGAUAACCUCACUCUCGAAGGGCUCGACUAGGUGUUGCGUCUAGGGAACAUAAUUCAUCAUGUUGUACCCCUCCGGCAGCAGCGGGUGAAUGUCCGCCAAGGUUGACCCAUCAUGUGCAUCAUGGUUCGACUUGGCGUUUCGUCUAGGGAACAUCAUUCAUCAUGUUAUACCCCUCCGGCAGCAGCGGGUGGACGCCUGCCAAGGUUGACCCAUCAUUUUUGGAUAUAGUGUCGAUCUUCGGUGCUGUCCAGAUCUCAUGGAUCGUCUUAGCGAGUUCCUAGAACUUUGUGAAGAUAUAGGUGGCUUUCUGGAUGGUGUCACAAUAAAAGUAAGUGAUCUAUUACUCAAGUUUACGGAUUCCACCAAACUCCUUCGCCGACUGGCCUAGGUGGCUGCUAUGGAAUCCCUGGAAAGCUGUCCUGGCUCCUGCGGUGCUGUGCUGGCCACUGGCAUCCUAUAUGUGACAUACUGUUUCAGUUGAUUGUAUUGUGGAGUGGUAGUUGACGUUCCAUUUUUGUAGUGUGAUUUUGUUUGGUUAGACUUGCAAUGAUUCCGUUUGUGCUUGAAUUUCACAUGAGCUGUGUGCAUUACCUUCUUAGAUUCGAACAUCCAAAAAAUAGGUUUUUAUACUCCUGCUAAUUAAAUUGAUUUUAUUAGUUGGCUUAACUUGUACAGAAAUUCUUCAAUUUUGCUGGUUCUGCCUAGUGUUGUUGUUCUAUGUAUAGCAUUGUCUCGGGUAUGUAAUUCUAGGACUUGACCUCAUGUGAUGGGGCUUAUAUAGUUGCCUAUGUUUAGCACUUGGCACUCUAAAGAAGUUAAGUCUUCCUGAUUAAUAUUCUAGCAUGAUUCGGAUUAAUAUUCUAGCUUGAUUCGGCCGCUUAGCUAUAUUUCUAAUCAAUGCUGCUAUGCUAGUUCUAGGUAGCAUAAUACACUGAUUUUGAUACCCAAACAAUCUCGCAUGAUAUCCAAUCAAUACU